rnacentral:lncRNA from 1 species
UUCACAAAUCAAACUAAAAAAAACCUAAACCAUCUCCUCCUGCAUGCGCCGCUCUGUGUAUCGUCCAUUCAAGGACUCUUCGGACCUAGCCCACACUCCGAUGACGACGGAGAGGGCAAGGACCCGACCACAAGGUAACUUCCCUCCCUUUUAAUCUUUGUUUUUCAUUCUUUUAUUCAAAAAUGAAUCAAAACCAAAACCGAAAAGAAAACCAAAAAAGAAAAAAAGGAAAAAGAAAACGGAAGAAGCAAGAGAGCGAUUCAAAAAUCACCUUUUUGAUUUUUUGUAUUGAUUUUUCUGAUACAAUAUGUGUGUUUUUUUUUCUUCCCCCCUUUACAAGAUUUUUGUAAUGGCUUUGAUAUAGCCAAAAGGAAAUACCAAAAUCCCUAUUUAGUUUUUUUUUC